AUGUUGGUUUUGCUUGCAGAUCAGUGUCGUAGCUAACGCGUUAAGUGAUCCGCCUGGGGAGUACGGUCGCAAGAUUAAAACUCAAAGGAAUUGACGGGGGUCCGCACAAGCGGUGGAACAUGUGGUUUAAUUCGACACUACGCGAGGAACCUUACCUAGGCUUGACAUGUUAGUGACAGCCGUAGAAAUACGGUUUUCCUAGUUUACUAGGACACUAUCACAGGUGCUGCAUGGCUGUCGUCAGCUCGUGUCGUGAGAUGUUGGGUUAAGUCCUUUAACGAGCGCAACCCCUACCGUUAGUUGCUAAUCUUUGAUGCACUCUAACGGGACUGCCUUGGAAACAAGGAGGAAGGUGGGGAUGACGUCAAGUCCUCAUGGCCCUUAUGCCUAGGGCUACACACGUGUUACAAUGGCGAGUACAGAGGGAAGCAAAGUCGCGAGGCUGAGCAAAUCCUUUAAAGCUCGUCUAAGUUCGGAUUGAAGUCUGCAAUUCGACUUCAUGAAGUUGAAAUCGCUAGUAAUCGCGUAUCAGAACGGCGCGGUGAAUACGUUCUCGGACCUUGUACACACCGCCCGUCACACCACGAAAGUCGUCUAUACCCGAAGUCGUUUUAGCUAACCUGUAAAGGAGGCGAGCGCCGAAUGUAUGGGUGGUGAUUGGGGUGAA
rnacentral:rRNA from 1 species